GGGGAGCUGGCGCAACGGUAGCGCGUCAGAUUCCAGUACAUGGUAUAUCCUGAAGGUUAAGAGUUCGAAUCUCUUGUUCCUCA